GAUGAACGCUGGCUACAGGCUUAACACAUGCAAGUCGAGGGGAAACGACGGGGAAGCUUGCUUCUCCGGGCGUCGACCGGCGCACGGGUGAGUAACGCGUAUCCAACCUGCCUCUGACUGAGGGAUAACCCGUCGAAAGUCGGCCUAAUACCUCAUGCCAUCGUCUGCGGGCAUCCAACGACGAUUAAAGAUUUCAUCGGUCAGAGAUGGGGAUGCGUCUGAUUAGCUUGUUGGCGGGGUAACGGCCCACCAAGGCGACGAUCAGUAGGGGUUCUGAGAGGAAGGUCCCCCACAUUGGAACUGAGACACGGUCCAAACGCCUACGGGCGGCAGCAGUGAGGAAUAUUGGUCAAUGGGCGAGAGCCUGAACCAGCCAAGCAGCGUGCAGGAUGACGGCUGUAUGGUGUGUAAACUGCUUUUGUGCGGGGAUAAAGUGAGGGACGUGUCCUUCAUUGCAGGUACCGAAUGAAUAAGGACCGGCUAAUUCCGUG
rnacentral:rRNA from 1 species